rnacentral:rRNA from 1 species
GACGAACGCUGGCGGCGUGCCUAAUACAUGCAAGUUGAGCGAUGAAGCUUGGUGCUUGCACCUAUUUGAAGAGCAGCGAACGGGUGAGUAACGCGUGGGGAAUCUGCCUUUGAGCGGGGGACAACAUUUGGAAACGAAUGCUAAUACCGCAUAACAACUUUAAACAUAAGUUUUAAGUUUGAAAGAUGCAAUUGCAUCACUCAAAGAUGAUCCCGCGUUGUAUUAGCUAGUUGGUGAGGUAAAGGCUCACCAAGGCGAUGAUACAUAGCCGACCUGAGAGGGUGAUCGGCCACAUUGGGACUGGGACACGGCCCAAACUCCUACGGGAGGCAGCAGUAGGGAAUCUUCGGCAAUGGACGAAAGUCUGACCGAGCAACGCCGCGUGAGGGAAGAAGGGUGUCGGAUCGGAAAACUCUGUUGGUAGAGAAGAACGUUGGUGAGAGUGGAAAGCUCAUCAAGUGACGGUAACUACCCAGAAAGGGACGGCUAACUACGUG